rnacentral:rRNA from 1 species
AUUGAACGCUGGCGGCAUGCCUUACACAUGCAAGUCGAACGGUAACAGGUCUUCGGAUGCUGACGAGUGGCGAACGGGUGAGUAAUGCAUCAGAACGUGCCCAGUAGUGGGGGAUAGCCCGGCGAAAGCCGGAUUAAUACCGCAUACGACCUGAGGGUGAAAGGGGGGGAUCGCAAGACCUCUCGCUAUUGGAGCGGCCGAUGUCAGAUUAGCUAGUUGGUGGGGUAAAGGCCUACCAAGGCAACGAUCUGUAGUUGGUCUGAGAGGACGACCAGCCACACUGGGACUGAGACACGGCCCAGACUCCUACGGGAGGCAGCAGUGGGGAAUUUUGGACAAUGGGCGCAAGCCUGAUCCAGCAAUGCCGCGGGCAGGAAGAAGGCCUUCGGGUUGUAAACUGCUUUUGUCAGGGAAGAAAUCUUCUGGGUUAAUACCUCGGGAGGAUGACGGUACCUGAAGAAUAAGCACCGGCUAACUACGUGCCAGCCGCCGCCGUAACAC